rnacentral:snRNA from 1 species
AUACCUUUCUCGGCCUUUUGGCUAAGAUCAAGUGUAGUAUCUGUUCUUAUCAGUUUAAUAUCUGAUACGUGAGCCAAUGGCUCACACGAUAUUAACUCAAUUUUUUUAGGGGAAAGGCUCAUUGAGGUAGCUUGCUGCCUAGUCUUUGAGUGUCGCCUUGGUAUUGCACUAUUGCCUUGGCCUGGCACACCCCAA